rnacentral:lncRNA from 1 species
CACUCAAUCUAGCAACAAGGUAAUCAAGGAUGCAAGUGAACAAUAAACUUUAAAAUAUUUUAAAAUUAAUUUCUUGUCACUGAUCAGGAUCACUAAUAUGUUAAAAUUUCCACAUCUCUAGUUCUCGCUCCUAAGUGAUUUUUGUAUCAUGGUAACUUUUUUUAUUGGGUAUGAGUAACUUUUUGCAUUGUUGAUUGGUAAAUCUUUAGUAGUGGACUAGUAACUUUAAUGUCACAUACUGAUGGUUCUUGUUUUGAUGAUUGGUAACUUAGGCAUGUUAGACUGGAUAAUUUGUGGUAACGAAGGGAUAAUUUUGAUACUUUUGACGAAUAAUUUUAUAGCAGUAAAGUAGUAAGUUUGACCAUAGGCAAAAAAUGAGAUAAGUAAAUGGUCCAAGCAAUAAGCAUAUAAGCUUUUCAAGCCUGUCCAAAGAGGGAAUACUAGUUAUAAAAUUCUUCCAAAUGCUUACUGAACAAACAAAUGGUUGGUCACAAACACAAAACAACCAAGACUACUUUCAUCUAUACAUAAAGAACAAAGGCUUCCAAUCCAAAUAUAAUGAUCAUACAGCAAAACAAAAAAUUUAAAAGAUGUAAGCCUUGACCUCCCAGCUUCUUCAACAAACACUAUCACCAGUAUCACCCAUCACUGGAGCAAUCAGCCACCAAUUC